rnacentral:rRNA from 1 species
CCUACGGGUGGCAGCAGUGAGGAAUAUUGGUCAAUGGGCGGAAGCCUGAACCAGCCAAGUAGCGUGCAGGAUGACGGACCUAAGGGUUGUAAACUGCUUUUAUACGGGAAUAACGCGCCUUACGUGUAGGGCUUUGCCUGUACAGUAUGAAUAAGGACCGGCUAAUUCCGUGCCAGCAGCAGCGGUAAUACGGAUGGUCCGGGCGUUAUCCGGAUUUAUUGGGUGGAAAGGGAGCGUAGACGGCAUGCCAAGCGUGGAGUGAAAUGUCCGGGCUCAACCCGGGGCGUGCAGUGCAAACUGGCGUGCUUGAGUGCGCGGAAAGCAGGCGGAAUUCGGCGUGUAGCGGUGAAAUGCUUAGAUAUGACGAGGAACCCCGAUGGCGAAGGCAGCUUGCUGCAGCGGAACUGACGCUGAUGCUCGAAAGCGCGGGUAUCGAACAGGAUUAGAUACCCGAGUAGUC